UCCUGGUAAACUUGCUCCGAUUUUUACGUAUAGCAACUUUUCUGAAAGCUCAAGUUGUCUAGAUUGUACUUUAGAGAUUUUCAACGCCAUUUUUUAAAUAAAAGCACUUAAGUGGAAAAAAACGUAAGAUUUCAUUAUUUUAUAAAAUCACGGACGACGUUUUCUACCAGAAAAAAUGAUUUAAUCGAAAAAUCACAAGAUCUCUUUUGGUUGCCUCUUGAUUUACUUUCUUACGAUAUCAUCGCCAAACUUUUGAGCCACUGUUGAGCUUUUAAGGAAUUUUAAUUUUCGAGAGUUUUUGCUGUAAUUCGGUUAUAAAUACAAGCAGAGACUUGAAACUUGGUAAUAUUUUUUAAUUGGAUAUACCUAACGCGGUAAAAUUUCGA